rnacentral:rRNA from 1 species
GACAGAGGUGCCAAGCGUUAGGCGGAAUCACUGGGCUUAAAGCGUGUGUAGGCGGAUCGUUAAGUGUCUUGUGAAAUCCCACGGCUCACCCGUGGAACUGCUGGGCAUACUGGCGAUCUUGGGCCAACUAGGGGCAACUGGAACAAGCGGUGGAGCGGUGAAAUGCGUAGAUAUCAUUUGGAACGCCGACGGUGAAAACAGCUCGCUGGGAGUGUCCUGACGCUGAGACGCGAAAGCCAGGGGAGCGAACGGG